rnacentral:rRNA from 4 species
GGCCCUUACGACCAGGGCUACACACGUGCUACAAUGGCGCAUACAAAGAGAAGCGACCUCGCGAGAGCAAGCGGACCUCAUAAAGUGCGUCGUAGUCCGGAUUGGAGUCUGCAACUCGACUCCAUGAAGUCGGAAUCGCUAGUAAUCGUGGAUCAGAAUGCCACGGUGAAUACGUUCCCGGGCCUUGUACACACCGCCCGUCACACCAUGGGAGUGGGUUGCAAAAGAAGUAGGUAGCUUAACCUUCGGGAGGGCGCUUACCACUUUGUGAUUCAUGACUGGGGUGAAGUCGUAACAAGGUAACCGUAGGGGAACCUGCGGUUGGA